GAGGGUAUAACUCAAUGGUAGAGCAUGUGCUUAGCAUGCACAAGGUCCUGGAUUCAAUCCCCAGUACCACCA
rnacentral:tRNA from 1 species